GGAGAGUUCGCAUAGUGGUCUAGUGCGCCGCCUUGGAAAGGCGGUAGGCUCGAAAGGGCCUCGAGGGUUCAAAUCCCUCACUCUCCG
rnacentral:tRNA from 1 species